GACAGAGGUCCCGAGCGUUAGGCGGAAUCACUGGGGCUUAAAGCGUGUGUAGGCGGAUCGUUAAGUACCUUGUGAAAUCCCACGGCUUAACCGUGGAACUGCUGGGCAUACUGCGGGUCUGGGCCAACUAGGGGCAGCCGGAACAAGCGGUGGAGCGGUGAAAUGCGUAGAUAUCGCUUGGAACGCCGAAGGUGAAAACAGGCUGCUGGGGU
rnacentral:rRNA from 1 species